AAAAAAUUUCUAUGAAGAAAAAAAUACUAGGAAAAAAGCUGCAUUUAAAAAGGUUGGAUAGGUUACCUACAUCUCACUCAAGUGUGUAUCAAAGUAUGUUCAGGUAGAGUUUUCUUCCUAUUGCAAAAUGAUUAAGCCUGGUUUUUCCCUCUAGUCUCAUGAACACAAAAAUGCUAGUUUGUAGCCUACAUUUUUUACAAAAGAAAGUUGUAACAUCCUUCAAAACCUUUUAAAAGUUAUCCCUACUUUCCAUCU